rnacentral:rRNA from 1 species
AUGACGAAGUACUUCGGUAUGUAAAGUUCUUUUAUCGAGGAAGAAAAGCAAAUGGCGAACCAUUUGUUUGCCGGUACUUGAUGAAUAAGCCCCGGCUAAUUAUGUGCCAGCAGCCGCGGUAAGACAUAAGGGGCAAGUGUUAUCCGGAAUUAUUGGGCGUAAAGGGUGCGUAGGCGGUCUAGUAAGUCAGUGGUGUAAUGGCAACGCUUAACGUUGUCCGGCUAUUGAAACUGCUAAACUUGAGUUAGAUAGAGGCGAGUGGAAUUCCAUGUGUAGCGGUAAAAUGCGUAAAUAUAUGGAGGAACACCAGAGGCGUAGGCGGCUCGCUGGGUCUUAACUGACGCUGAGGCACGAAAGCGUGGGGAGCAAACAGGAUUAGAUACCCUGGUAGUCCACGCCGUAAACGAUGAGUACUAAGUGUCGGGUUAAACCGGUACUGAAGUUAACACAUUAAGUACCCCGCCUGAGUAGUACGUACGCAAGUAUGAAACUUAAAGGAAUUGACGGGACUCCGCACAAGCGGUGGAUCAUGUUGUUUAAUUCGAAGAUACCCGAAAAACCUUACCAGGUCUUGACAUGUUUUUGCAAAAUGAUAGUAAUAUCGUGGAGGUUACCAGAAACACAGGUGGUGCAUGGUUGUCGUCAGCUCGUGUCGUGAGAUGUUCGGUUAAGUCCUAAAACGAGCGAAACCCUUAUCGUUAGUUGCCAGCACGUUAUGGUGGGGACUUUAACGAGACUGCCAAUGAUAAAUUGGAGGAAGGUGAGGAUCACGUCAAAUCAGCAUGCCCCUUAUGACCUGGGCUACAAACGUGAUACAAUGGCUGUUACAAAGGGUAGCUGAAACGCAAGUUCUUGGCCAAUCCCCAAAAACAGUCCCAGUCCGGAUUGAAGUCUGCAACUCGACUUCAUGAAGUUGGAAUCGCUAGUAAUCGCGAAUCAGCAUGUCGCGGUGAAUACGUUCUCGGGGUUUGUACACACCGCCCGUCAAACCACGAAAGUUGGCAAUACCCCAAAACGGUAGCCUAACUCGUUUAUUCGAGAGGGCGCCGUCUAAGGUAGGGUCGAUGAUUGGGGUUAAGUCGUAACAAGGUAUCCCUACCGGAAGGUGGGGAUGGAUCACCUCCUUUCU